rnacentral:rRNA from 1 species
AGAGUUUGAUCAUGGCUCAGAUUGAACGCUGGCGGCAGGCCUAACACAUGCAAGUCGAACGGUAACAGGAAGAAGCUUGCUUCUUUGCUGACGAGUGGCGGACGGGUGAGUAAUGUCUGGGAAACUGCCUGAUGGAGGGGGAUAACUACUGGAAACGGUAGCUAAUACCGCAUAACGUCGCAAGACCAAAGAGGGGGACCUUCGGGCCUCUUGCCAUCGGAUGUGCCCAGAUGGGAUUAGCUAGUAGGUGGGGUAACGGCUCACCUAGGCGACGAUCCCUAGCUGGUCUGAGAGGAUGACCAGCCACACUGGAACUGAGACACGGUCCAGACUCCUACGGGAGGCAGCAGUGGGGAAUAUUGCACAAUGGGCGCAAGCCUGAUGCAGCCAUGCCGCGUGUAUGAAGAAGGCCUUCGGGUUGUAAAGUACUUUCAGCGGGGAGGAAGGGAGUAAAGUUAAUACCUUUGCUCAUUGACGUUACCCGCAGAAGAAGCACCGGCUAACUCCGUGCCAGCAGCCGCGGUAAUACGGAGGGUGCAAGCGUUAAUCGGAAUUACUGGGCGUAAAGCGCACGCAGGCGGUUUGUUAAGUCAGAUGUGAAAUCCCCGGGCUCAACCUGGGAACUGCAUCUGAUACUGGCAAGCUUGAGUCUCGUAGAGGGGGGUAGAAUUCCAGGUGUAGCGGUGAAAUGCGUAGAGAUCUGGAGGAAUACCGGUGGCGAAGGCGGCCCCCUGGACGAAGACUGACGCUCAGGUGCGAAAGCGUGGGGUGCAAACAGGAUUAGAUAUCCUGGUAGUCCACGCCGUAAACGAUGUCGACUUGGAGGUUGUGCCCUUGAGGCGUGGCUUCCGGAGCUAACGCGUUAAGUCGACCGCCUGGGGAGUACGGCCGCAAGGUUAAAACUCAAAUGAAUUGACGGGGGCCCGCACAAGCGGUGGAGCAUGUGGUUUAAUUCGAUGCAACGCGAAGAACCUUACCUGGUCUUGACAUCCACGGAAGUUUUCAGAGAUGAGAAUGUGCCUUCGGGAACCGUGAGACAGGUGCUGCAUGGCUGUCGUCAGCUCGUGUUGUGAAAUGUUGGGUUAAGUCCCGCAACGAGCGCAACCCUUAUCCUUUGUUGCCAGCGGUCCGGCCGGGAACUCAAAGGAGACUGCCAGUGAUAAACUGGAGGAAGGUGGGGAUGACGUCAAGUCAUCAUGGCCCUUACGACCAGGGCUACACACGUGCUACAAUGGCGCAUACAAAGAGAAGCGACCUCGCGAGAGCAAGCGGACCUCAUAAAGUGCGUCGUAGUCCGGAUUGGAGUCUGCAACUCGACUCCAUGAAGUCGGAAUCGCUAGUAAUCGUGGAUCAGAAUGCCACGGUGAAUACGUUCCCGGGCCUUGUACACACCGCCCGUCACACCAUGGGAGUGGGUUGCAAAAGAAGUAGGUAGCUUAACCUUCGGGAGGGCGCUUACCACUUUGUGAUUCAUGACUGGGGUGAAGUCGU